GCGAUGGUGGUAAAGUGGUGAGCACGGCUGCCUUCCGACCAGUUGACCCGAGUUCGAAUCCCGGCCAUCGCA